AGGCGUUUUCUGUGUUUCUGAUCAGCCCAAGUCCUUUGGGAUAAGGCAUCACGGAGGGUGAGAAUCCCGUUCGGUUGAUCAGAUUCGCUUUACGAUACGCUUUCAAAGAGUCAAGUUGUUUGGGAUUGCAGCUUAAAAUGGGAGGUAAAUUUCUCCUAAGGCUAAAUAACGGCGAGAGACCGAUAGCGAACAAGUACCGUGAGGGAAAGAUGAAAAGAACUUUGAACAGAGAGUUAAAUAGUACGUGAAAUUGUUGAAAGGGAAACGAUUGAAGCCAGUCGUACCUGCGGGUAAUCAGCCUUUUGGGCAUGAUUCUGUGGAGCGUGAGGAGUUAAACGCCUUCAUGCCUGCAUAUUCGUGUACUUUGGGUGUACUUGCCUGUGUGGUUAGUUAGCAUCAAUUUUGGUUAUCAUAAAAUGGCCGGAGGAAUGUAGCUUCGAUUUCGAUUGAAGUGUUAUAGCCUUCGGCAGAUGUGAUGAUCGGGAUUGAGGAUUGCAACGGAUACCCUUCGGGGCUACCUGUCUGGUCUCUGAUCGUUGCUCUGGUGCCGAAAGCGUGC
rnacentral:rRNA from 1 species